UUGACAACAUGACGCUUGAUAACAGUCACAACAACACGAGCAGACUGACUUAAGUAUAAAUUCUGCAGAUGACAGCUCAGUUACAGACUCAUAAUGUCACUUAACAGCACACACUUCAGCCCAUAAACAAACAAAACAGACAAAUGCUGCGAUAAAGUGCAGGAGUGGAAGAUGUCACGCGACUCACCUAAUAAGGGAUGUUUGGACCGUUACACUCAGCCAACAGAAGCAUGUGGACAGACAUUGACUGUGAUGAUGGACAUCUGCUGAUGCACAGAAUAAGGGAUGUUUGGACCGUUACACUCAGCCAACAGAAGCAUGUGGACAGACAUUGACUGUGAUGAUGGACAUCUGCUGAUGCACAGGCAGAAGCAUAACCCCUGCUGGACAUUGUGCUGGAGCUCAGGGGGGGAUGCCAUGAUCCCCCACACCUUCUCACUCACACCAGACCAUUCACUCAUAUCGCGGAGAUCUGGUUGGACUUGAGCCAGCAACCUCUGAAACCAUGAGGCAGCGCUCUUACCACUGAGCCACAGAUCUCUUGUCUGAACAUGUGCAGGAACUUAUAUUUCACUGUCAUUUUACAAUAAACCAGAUAAAUGUAGAGCCCAUUGAGCUGGGAUUUGAACCCAUGACACCACCACAGUCCUGACUGUAAGAAACAUGUGUUUAGCCAUUAGUGCCACACUGGCUUUCACAUCAAGGACUGGCAUUUGGGCCAAUUUGUUGGAUAUAAUGCAAUACAUGAGCUUUAAUGUUAGCAAUAGUGGGGCUCGAACUCAUGACUCCAUGAUCCCAACACAACACU